AUUGAACGCUGGCGGCAUGCCUUACACAUGCAAGUCGAACGGUAGCGGGCCUUCGGGUGCCGACGAGUGGCGAACGGGUGAGUAAUGUAUCGGAACGUACCUUUCAGUGGGGGAUAACGUAGCGAAAGUUGCGCUAAUACCGCAUAUUCUGUGAGCAGGAAAGCAGGGGAUCGCAAGACCUUGCGCUGAUUGAGCGGCCGAUAUCAGAUUAGCUAGUUGGUGAGGUAAAGGCUCACCAAGGCGACGAUCUGUAGCGGGUCUGAGAGGAUGAUCCGCCACACUGGAACUGAGACACGGUCCAGACUCCUACGGGUGGCUGCAGUCGAGAAUCUUCGGCAAUGGACGCAAGUCUGACCGAGCGACGCCGCGUGCGGGAUGAAGGUCUUCGGAUUGUAAACCGCUGUCGGGAGGGAUGAAAUGCGCGGAAGCUAUCUUCUGCGUUUGACAGAGCUCCAGAGGAAGCACGGGCUAAGUUCGUGCCAGCAGCCGCCGUAACAC
rnacentral:rRNA from 1 species